GGGGUGCAGCAGGCGCGAAAACUUCACACUGUGCGAAAGCACGAUGAGGGAAUCCCAAGUGCUGGCUCGUAAGAGUCAGCUGUUUCUCUGUCUAGAAAACAGAGAGAGUAAGGGCUGGGUAAGACGGGUGCCAGCCGCCGCGGUAAUACCUGCAGCCCAAGUGGUGGCCGCUAUUAUUGGGCCUAAAACGUUCGUAGCCGGUCUAGUAAAUGCCUGGGUAAAUCAUACGGCUUAACCGUACGAAUUCCGGGUAGACUGCUGGACUUGGGACUGGGAGAGGCUAGAGGUACUCCUGGGGUAGAGGUGAAAUUCUGUAAUCCUAGGGGGACGACCAGUGGCGAAGGCGUCUAGCUAGAACAGGUCUGACGGUGAGGAACGAAGCCCUGGGGCGCAAACGGGAUUAGAUACCCCGGUAGUCCAGGGUGUAAACGCUGCUUGCUUGAUGUUAGUCGGGCUCCGAGCCCGAUUAGUGUCGGAGAGAAGUUGUUAAGCAAGCUGCCUGGGAG
rnacentral:rRNA from 1 species